ACGCUAGCUACAGGCUUAACACAUGCAAGUCGAGGGCAGCGGGUUGAAAGCUUGCUUUCAAUGCCGGCGACCGGCGCACGGGUGCGUAACGCGUAUCAACCCUGCCUCAUACUCGGGGAUAGCCUUGCGAAAGUAAGAUUAAUACCCGAUGUUGUUGCUUUCUCGCAUGGGAGAGUAACCAAAGAUUUAUCGGUAUGAGAUGGUGAUGCGUCCGAUUAGGUAGUAGGCGGGGUAACGGCCCACCUAGCCUUCGAUCGGUAGGGGUUCUGAGAGGAAGGUCCCCCACACUGGAACUGAGACACGGUCCAGACUCCUACGGGAGGCAGCAGUGAGGAAUAUUGGUCAAUGGGCGAGAGCCUGAACCAGCCAAGUAGCGUGCAGGAUGACGGCCCUCCGGGUUGUAAACUGCUUUUAGUUGGGAAUAAAAAAAGGGACUUGUCCCUUCUUGUAUGUACCUUCAGAAAAAGGACCGGCUAAUUCCGUGCCAGCAGCCGCGGUAAUACGGAAGGUCCAGGCGUUAUCCGGAUUUAUUGGGUUUAAAGGGAGCGUAGGCGGAUUGUUAAGUCAGCGGUUAAAGGGUGUGGCUCAACCAUGCAUUGCCGUUGAAACUGGCGAUCUUGAGUGCAGACAGGGAUGCCGGAAUUCGUGGUGUAGCGGUGAAAUGCUUAGAUAUCACGAAGAACUCCGAUCGCGAAGGCAGGUGUCCGGGCUGCAACUGACGCUGAGGCUCGAAAGUGUGGGUAUCAAACAGGAUUAGAUACCCUGGUAGUCCACACAGUAAACGAUGUAUACUCGCGGUUUGCGAUAGAUUGUAAGCCGCCAAGCGAAAGCAUUAAGUAUACCACCUGGGGAGUACGCCGGCUACGGUGAAACUCAAAGGAAUUGACGGGGGCCCGCACAAGCGGAGGAA
rnacentral:rRNA from 1 species